CCUACGGGAGGCAGCAGUGGGGAAUAUUGCACAAUGGGGGAAACCCUGAUGCAGCGACGCCGCGUGAGUGAAGAAGUAAUUCGUUAUGUAAAGCUCUAUCAGCAGGGAAGAAAAUGACGGUACCUGAGUAAGAAGCCCCGGCUAACUACGUGCCAGCAGCCGCGGUAAGACGUAGGGGGCAAGCGUUAUCCGGAUUUACUGGGUGUAAAGGGAGCGUAGACGGCAGUGCAAGUCUGGAGUGAAAGGCGGGGGCUCAACCCCCGGACUGCUCUGGAAACUGUACGGCUGGAGUGCAGGAGAGGUAAGUGGAAUUCCUAGUGUAGCGGUGAAAUGCGUAGAUAUUAGGAGGAACACCAGUGGCGAAGGCGGCUUACUGGACUGUAACUGACGUUGAGGCACGAAAGCGUGGGGAGCAAACAGGAUUAGAUACCCCAGUAGUC
rnacentral:rRNA from 1 species